UUUUUUUUUCUUUUUCUCUUCUUUUUCUCUUCUCCUUCCGUUUCUCCUUCUUCCUCCAGCCCAACCGCCCAACCGCCCACCCCAAUCUCUUCUUCUUUUCUUUUCUUUUCUCUUCUGUUCGACGCCAACACAAAGCCACCACCGAUUUCCUUUUCCGACCGACGAAGUCCGGCAGCCGCGCGUGGUCUAGAUCUGCGUCGUUGCGGUUCGCCGAAGCCAAUAUUCCGCUGGUGUCUAAUCUCUCCUUUUCGUCCCGUCACCGCUGCACCGUUCGCCUGAAGCCAUUGGCCGUUCGGGUUGCACAGCCAAGCCGCAACUCCUUCGCGCGCAUAGUCCCACAACCCAAUUGUUCGUUCCCCACAGAAAAUCAUCCGUGAACCGCGCGCCAUUUGGCUAAGUCGGCUUGCACCCCACGUUGCACGAUCUUCGUUUAGGUUGAAGGGAUGCUCGAAUUCCUUGGGUUCACAGCAAACAUUUGAUUUUAGUUGGAACUCGUUCCGUGAAGAUUUGGGCAAAGGUAACAAAUGUGACAAACCGGCGAGGGGCAGGAAGGAAGCGUGAUUGCCAUGGGGAACAUGUUAUUUUGCUUUCGCUUUAUGUUUUUGAGGUUUAAAACACCGUGUUGAAACUUAGCUUACGAACUUUCUUUUAUGUUUUUUUAUAAACAAUAUUUUUUUGUUUUGAAUGUUUGAAAGCAUG